rnacentral:lncRNA from 10 species
AACGUGUGGGAAAGGGAAAGAAUGGCUCUUUCCUCCUCUGUUCUCUAGGAGGGGUCAUGCAUUCUGGAAAAUAAUGCAGAGUGGUACAGGCUGAAGCGGAGCGGAGAGGACACUGUUUCAAGAUUCCUGCGCCAGCUCCUUCGUUGUUAUAGAAGUUGGACUAAAUAAAAGGGUAAUCACAAGCGUACAGAUAACAGGCAGGCAGGAAUGUGAAAAUCAGAGAGAAGAGAGAUGUGCACCAGAAGCUGGAGUAAUGUGCUUUGAAGAUGGAGGAAGGGACCAUAAAUCAAGGAAUGCAGACAGCCUGUAGAAGCUGGGAAAGGCAAGGAUGUGGAUUCACUCGAGUCUCUAGAAGAAACGCAACCCCGCCAACACCUUGAUUUGAGGACGUCUGACCUUCAGAAUGAGAAAAUGAUACAUUUGUGUUGUAAGCCACCCAGUUUGUGAAAUAUGUAUCAACAAUUGAAAACUAGUACAUAGUCAAAUACUCAAUCUCUGUUUUUUUUAGCUUAUCAUUUUCAAUCUCUGUCUCCAACCCACAAACCACAUGCAUCAUAAAUAAAUUAAAAUACCAAAACUU